rnacentral:rRNA from 1 species
AGUCAGCGGCGGACGGGUGAGUAACACGUGGGUAACCUGCCUAUAAGACUGGGAUAACUCCGGGAAACCGGGGCUAAUACCGGAUAACAUCAAAAGCUGCAUGGCUUUUGGUUGAAAGGCGGCUUCGGCUGUCACUUAUAGAUGGACCCGCGGCGCAUUAGCUAGUUGGUGGGGUAACGGCUCACCAAGGCCACGAUGCGUAGCCGACCUGAGAGGGUGAUCGGCCACACUGGGACUGAGACACGGCCCAGACUCCUACGGGAGGCAGCAGUAGGGAAUCUUCCGCAAUGGACGAAAGUCUGACGGAGCAACGCCGCGUGAGUGAAGAAGGUUUUCGGAUCGUAAAACUCUGUUGUCAGGGAAGAACAAGUAUCGGAGUAACUGCCGGUACCUUGACGGUACCUGACCAGAAAGCCACGGCUAACUACGUGCCAGCAGCCGCGGUAAUACGUAGGUGGCAAGCGUUGUCCGGAAUUAUUGGGCGUAAAGCGCGCGCAGGCGGCCUUUUAAGUCUGAUGUGAAAGCCCCCGGCUCAACCGGGGAGGGUCAUUGGAAACUGGAAGGCUUGAGUGCAGAAGAGAAGAGCGGAAUUCCACGUGUAGCGGUGAAAUGCGUAGAGAUGUGGAGGAACACCAGUGGCGAAGGCGGCUCUUUGGUCUGUAACUGACGCUGAGGCGCGAAAGCGUGGGGAGCGAACAGGAUUAGAUACCCUGGUAGUCCACGCCGUAAACGAUGAGUGCUAAGUGUUGGGGGGUUUCCGCCCCUCAGUGCUGCAGCUAACGCAUAAGCAC